rnacentral:rRNA from 1 species
UACAGAGGGUGCGAGCGUUGUUCGGAAUUAUUGGGCGUAAAGGGCGCGUAGGCGGUGCGGUAAGUCACCUGUGAAAUCUCCUGGCUCAACUGGGAGCUUGCAGGCGAAACUGCCGUGCUGGAGUGUGGGAGAGGUGCGUGGAAUUCCUGGUGUAGCGGUGAAAUGCGUAGAUAUCGGGAGGAACACCAGUGGCGAAGGCGGUUGCCUGGAGCUUUGCUGACGCUGAUGCGCGAAAGCGUGGGGAGCGAUCCGG